GGGGAUGUGUUGUAUAGGGGAUGUGUUGAGGAGGUGGGGUUGGGUGAGGUGACUGGGAAGGUGUUGUAUAGGGGAUGUGUUGAGGAGGUGGGGUUGGGUAGGUGACUGGGAAGGUGGGAUGUGUUGUAUAGGGGAUGUGUUGAGUAGGGGAUGUGUUGUAUAGGGGAUGUGUAAAGGCUUUAAAUAAAGACAAGCUGAACAAUACAAAGGACACCGCCUGGAGGUUAAAUUCACAGUUAAUGAUAAAAUAAAGCCAGAAUGUAUUUGGAUAUUAAAUAAUUCUCCGCCAUGAAAGAUGGUUCCAUAUUUGAGGAGAAGUGGGGUUACAGAGGAGGUGUCUAUUAUGUUGUAGAGGAGGUGUCUGUUGUGUUGUAGAGGAGGUGUCUGUUGUGUUAAAGAUUAUUUUAACAGGGUUGCAUGUUGUGUAACAAGGUUGCAAUGUGCGAAAGACCCUCCAGGCCAGGCUCCCCAAAAUAUCAGGUAUGUGUCAGAUGGCCAGAGCUGGCAUCCUAUCACUCUCCUGACAGGUUAAAAGGUUUGAAUUCCCAGGGUGAUGUGCACAGUAGUAUAGGACAGUGUCACUCAAACCUGCUCCUGGAGACACUCCACCCUGCAU
ensembl:lncRNA